rnacentral:tRNA from 1 species
CGCGGGGUGGAGCAGCCCGGUAGCUCGAUAGGCUCAUAACCUGAAGGCCGCAGGUUCAAAUCCUGCCCCCGCAACCA